AUGACUAGAGAUAAUCUGAGGAAAGGACACAUCAUAAAACCACUUGAGUGUGUUUUUUGCUCGGAGGGUGAAACAAAUUUUCACUUGUUUUUUGACUGUAUUGUAGCACAAAAUAUCUGGUCAUUCGUUUCUAGUCAUUUUAAGAUUCCCAUAGGAACUGACUUUGAAUCUGUAGCCAGAUUCUGGAUCUCUAAUAAGAGAAACUCAGCUUUAAAUACUGUUACUUCAGCAGUCCUGUGGUGUUUAUGGAAAUAUAGGAACUCUACAAUUUUUAACAACACUAUUUGGACUUCAGUUAUCCGGGUAUGGAGACUGAUCCUCAGAACUCACAAAAUUCUAGGCGACCCUAUCUCCAGAAGGUGGCAAAACAAGACUGGAGGAGUUCCUGAUAGUGCUAGCAGCAUUCUUACAGCAACCGUUGCGGAUAAUAGGUGGCUGAUGUUGAAAGGCUUCGCAAAAGAUGGCGUGGUGGACCACUGGGACAAGCUUAAGAUCUCGGAGGAUGACUGCAACUUCCAAUCCCCGAAGAAGAGGGAGGACCCGAGAAGCAAAGGCACGUUGAACAGCCUGGUUUCGACCCUAGCCGUCUGCUGGUCACCCCAAGCUACAACAACGCCACCGUUCAAGUUCAGGAGGUCCAACGAGAUGGAGGCAGAACCAGCUCCAGAGAUCUUUGUCUGA
rnacentral:rRNA from 1 species